AUUGAACGCUGGCGGCAGGCCUAACACAUGCAAGUCGAACGAGUGGCGGACGGGUGAGUAAUGCCUGGGAAUCUGCCUGAUGGAGGGGGAUAACGACGGGAAACUGUCGCUAAUACCGCAUACCAUCGGAUGUGCCCAGAUGGGAUUAGCUAGUUGGUGGGGUAACGGCCUACCAAGCCGACGAUCCCUAGCUGGUCUGCGAGGAUGACCAGCCACACCGGAACUGAGACACGGCCCAGACUCCUACGUGAGGCAGCAGUGGGGAAUAUUGCACAAUGGGGGCAACCCUGAUGCAGCCAUGCCGCGUGUAUGAAGAAGGCCUUCGGGUUGUAAAGUUCUUUCAGUGGGGAGGCGUUAACCACAGAAGAAGCACCGGCUAACUCCGUGCCAGCAGCCGCGGUAAUAC
rnacentral:rRNA from 1 species